GAUGAACGCUGGCGGCGUGCCUAAUACAUGCAAGUCGAGCGAACAGACGAGGAGCUUGCUCCUUCGACGUUAGCGGCGGACGGGUGAGUAACACGUAGGUAACCUACCUAUAAGACUGGGAUAACUUCAGGAAACCGGAGCUAAUACCGGAUAAUAUUUCGAACCGCAUGGUUCGAUAGUGAAAGAUGGCUUUGCUAUCACUUAUAGAUGGACCUGCGCCGUAUUAGCUAGUUGGUAAGGUAACGGCUUACCAAGGCAACGAUACGUAGCCGACCUGAGAGGGUGAUCGGCCACACUGGAACUGAGACACGGUCCAGACUCCUACGGGAGGCAGCAGUAGGGAAUCUUCCGCAAUGGGCGAAAGCCUGACGGAGCAACGCCGCGUGAGUGAUGAAGGUCUUCGGAUCGUAAAACUCUGUUAUUAGGGAAGAACAAACGUGUAAGUAACUGUGCACGUCUUGACGGUACCUAAUCAGAAAGCCACGGCUAACUACGUG
rnacentral:rRNA from 1 species